UUACCGAGUUUACACUCCCAAACCCAAUGUGAACCAUACCAAACUGUUGCCUCGGCGGGGUCACGCCCCGGGUGCGUCGCAGCCCCGGAACCAGGCGCCCGCCGGAGGGACCAACCAAACUCUUUCUGUAGUCCCCUCGCGGACGUUAUUUCUUACAGCUCUGAGCAAAAAUUCAAAAUGAAUCAAAACUUUCAACAACGGAUCUCUUGGUUCUGGCAUCGAUGAAGAACGCAGCGAAAUGCGAUAAGUAAUGUGAAUUGCAGAAUUCAGUGAAUCAUCGAAUCUUUGAACGCACAUUGCGCCCGCCAGUAUUCUGGCGGGCAUGCCUGUCCGAGCGUCAUUUCAACCCUCGAACCCCUCCGGGGGGUCGGCGUUGGGGAUCGGGAACCCCUAAGACGGGAUCCCGGCCCCGAAAUACAGUGGCGGUCUCGCCGCAGCCUCUCCUGCGCAGUAGUUUGCACAACUCGCACCGGGAGCGCGGCGCGUCCACGUCCGUAAAACACCCAACUUCUGAAAUGUUGACCUCGGAUCAGGUAGGAAUACCCGCUGAACUUAAGCAUAUCAAUAA
rnacentral:rRNA from 1 species